GGCGAACGGGUGAGUAACACGUGGGCAAUCUGCCCUUCACUCUGGGACAAGCCCUGGAAACGGGGUCUAAUACCGGAUAUCACUCUCGCAGGCAUCUGUGAGGGUCGAAAGCUCCGGCGGUGAAGGAUGAGCCCGCGGCCUAUCAGCUUGUUGGUGAGGUAACGGCUCACCAAGGCGACGACGGGUAGCCGGCCUGAGAGGGCGACCGGCCACACUGGGACUGAGACACGGCCCAGACUCCUACGGGAGGCAGCAGUGGGGAAUAUUGCACAAUGGGCGAAAGCCUGAUGCAGCGACGCCGCGUGAGGGAUGACGGCCUUCGGGUUGUAAACCUCUUUCAGCAGGGAAGAAGCGAAAGUGACGGUACCUGCAGAAGAAGCGCCGGCUAACUACGUGCCAGCAGCCGCGGUAAUACGUAGGGCGCAAGCGUUGUCCGGAAUUAUUGGGCGUAAAGAGCUCGUAGGCGGCUUGUCACGUCGGGUGUGAAAGCCCGGGGCUUAACCCCGGGUCUGCAUUCGAUACGGGCUAGCUAGAGUGUGGUAGGGGAGAUCGGAAUUCCUGGUGUAGCGGUGAAAUGCGCAGAUAUCAGGAGGAACACCGGUGGCGAAGGCGGAUCUCUGGGCCAUUACUGACGCUGAGGAGCGAAAGCGUGGGGAGCGAACAGGAUUAGAUACCCUGGUAGUCCACGCCGUAAACGGUGGGAACUAGGUGUUGGCGACAUUCCACGUCGUCGGUGCCGCA
rnacentral:rRNA from 1 species